rnacentral:rRNA from 1 species
GAUGAACGCUGGCGGCGUGCUUAACACAUGCAAGUCGAACGAGGUCCAACCUUCGGGUGAAGACUUAGUGGCGAACGGGUGAGUAACACGUGGGCAACCUGCCCCUCACACUGGGAUAACUCAGGGAAACUUGAGCUAAUACCGGAUACUCCGAGUUGAUCGCAUGGUCGACUCGGGAAAGCUCCGGCGGUGAGGGAUGGGCCCGCGGUCCAUUAGCUUGUUGGUGGGGUAAUGGCCCACCAAGGCUGCGAUGGAUAGCCGGGCUGAGAGGCCGAUCGGCCACACUGGGACUGAGACACCGCCCAGACUCCUACGGGUGGCUG